rnacentral:rRNA from 1 species
GACGAACGCUGGCGGCGUGCUUAACACAUGCAAGUCGAACGGUGAAGCGCCUUCCUUUUUGGUGGGUGUGGAUGAGUGGCGAACGGGUGAGUAACACGUGAGUAACCUGCCCCCUUCUUCUGGAUAACCGCAUGAAAGUGUGGCUAAUACGGGAUAUUCUGGGUCUGUCGCAUGAUUGGUCUGGGAAAGAUAUUGUUUCGGUGGGGGAUGGGCUCGCGGCCUAUCAGCUUGUUGGUGGGGUGAUGGCCUACCAAGGCGGUGACGGGUAGCCGGCCUGAGAGGGUGGACGGUCACACUGGGAAUGAGACACGGCCAAGACUCCGACGGGAGGCAGCAGGGGGGAAUAUUGCACAAUGGGAGCAAGCCUGAUGCAGCGACGCCGCGGGAGGGAUGGAGGCCUUCGGGUUGUGAACCUCUUUCGCCAGUGAAGCAGGCCUGCCUCGUUUGUGGGUGGGUUGACGGUAGCUGGAUAAGAAGCGCCGGCUAACUACGUG